AAGCGUCGUACGGAGGGAAUUAGGGUUUCGGUGUUUUUGGUUUGGGGAGGUAGUUUUAUAGUUAGAGUGUUGUUUUGUUUGUGUUUAGAAAGUGUUUGUUAGAUUGGGUUUUUUUUGGAGUUGUUUUGUUGUUUAGAGGUAGGUGGAUGUGUUGUGUGGGUUUUUUUUGGGUGUUUGGGUUUUUUAGUAGAGUUGUAGUGUAGGGGAAUUAGUUUAUGAUUAGUGAGUUUUGGGUAGUUAUUUUGGUUUUAGGUUUGGAGUUUAAUGUUUGGAAUGUGGGAGAGAAGAGGUUGGUUGUUGGUGGGUGUUUGUAAGGUUGUAUUGGGAAGGAUUGAGUGAGUUUUUAUAUUGGUGGAGUUUUAGUUUUGUGUUUAGGUGUGAUAGUAUAGAGUUUUGGUCGAGAGGUUGUUUUGUGUUGGGUGAGUUUUUUUAAGUUUUGUUUAGUUUUUAGCGUUCGCGUU
rnacentral:misc_RNA from 1 species